UACGGAGGGUGCAAGCGUUGUCCGGAUUUAUUGGGUUUAAAGGGUGCGUAGGCGGCCCGUUAAGUCAGUGGUGAAAGCCUCCAGCUCAACUGGAGAACUGCCAUUGAUACUGGCGGGCUUUAGUACAGACGAGGUAGGCGGAAUUGAUUGUGUAGCGGUGAAAUGCAUAGAUACAAUCAAGAACACCGAUUGCGUAGGCAGCUUACUAGGCUGUAACUGACGCUGAGGCACGAAAGCGUGGGGAGCGAACAGG
rnacentral:rRNA from 1 species